ACUUAUAUAGUUUAAUUAAAAUAUCGAUUUGUGGUGUCGAAGUUAUAUACACAUAUUAUGGGUA
rnacentral:tRNA from 1 species